rnacentral:tRNA from 1 species
GGGCAGGUAGCUCAGUUGGUAGAGCACGUGACUGAAAAUCACGGGGUCACCGGUUCAACCCCGGUCCUGCCCACCA